AGUGAACGCUGGCGGCAGGCCUAAUACAUGCAAGUCGAACGGCAGCACGGCAGAGCUUGCUCUGUGGGUGGCGAGUGGCGGACGGGUGAGGAAUACAUGGGAAUCUGCCCAGUCGUGGGGGAUAACGUAGGGAAACUUACGCUAAUACCGCAUGCGCCCUUCGGGGGAAAGCCGGGGACCUUCGGGCCUGGCGCGAUUGGAUGAGCCCAUGUCGGAUUAGCUAGUUGGCGGGGUAAUGGCCCACCAAGGCGACGAUCCGUAGCUGGUCUGAGAGGAUGAUCAGCCACACUGGAACUGAGACACGGUCCAGACUCCUACGGGAGGCAGCAGUAGGGAAUAUUGGACAAUGGGCGCAAGCCUGAUCCAGCCGUGCCGCGUGAGUGAAGAAGGCCCUCGGGUUGUAAAGCUCUUUUGUCCGGAAAGAAAAGCGCCGGGUUAAUACCCUGGUGUCCUGACGGUACCGGAAGAAUAAGCACCGGCUAACUUCGUGCCAGCAGCCGC
rnacentral:rRNA from 1 species